GCCUCUAAAGGAAAUAGUCAUCCAGUGGUCUUAGRAGCCAAA
rnacentral:tRNA from 1 species